CGGCGCGCCUGUAGAGGGGGAUCGAGCGAGCCAAUCCGUGGAGGCGGGGAGGGGCCGGGUCUGGGGCGCCGAGCUGUCAUCCGCGUUCCAGGUCAGGUAAACUGAGGCUGACCGGCCAGCCGGCAAAGGCUUGCCUGGGGCAGCAGCAAGGCUGGGCUUGAACCCGCUGCCUGGACUCCUUGAAUUUCUUUGAGUCCCAGCUCACGAAUGAUCCGUGAAAGCGGUUGGGCUAUCCUAUUAUUGGAAGCAGAAAACAAGUCGCCGUCACUGACCGCCUCGGAAACUGUGCCUAUAUUUUGCACUUGGCACUAUGUCACCCUGUGUUCUCUAUGGCCCCUGGUCACCUUCUGCCUCAGCUUCAGAGGACUCCAUUGGAGGAACAUUCCAUUAACAGGUCCUACACCCUUACUUGAUCUCUUGGAUAAAUUUGUAACCUAUGAACUUAGUGGAUCAAAGUGAAGUUCAUUACUGCUAAAUCGCCUGCCGUGUUCCACAAAGGACAUUCCAGGUUACUCUCCCAUCCGAAGAAUACACGAAGACAAGCCAGAGGGGCCAAAGCUCCUGCCAGUGUACACCGUGGAAGACUUUGUCAUCACUGCCUUGCACCAUUUACCCUGCCACACAGGAAGAGCAGAGUGUCAGCCUAACACUUACUUGAUGGCCCCACGAGCAGCAGGUACUGUGGUCAUUCCCACUAUCCACGUGAGGAAACAGAGGCUGCACUGACCACUCUUACGGAGUUAGAUCACGGAAUGCAGGUUUCAAAACCAGACCCAGCCAAUUCUACUCAACUGCCUCCCAAUCCUGUCAGUUUUAUUUAGGUCUUGCUUGUUUUGAGGGAAUACUAACCACUUUAUAUGAUUAAUCUUUUAUAUGAUUAACAUGAAAAUGGUUAAUAUUCA